UGAGCAAUCUGCCCUUCUCAUCGGAAUAAGCGUUGGAAACGACGUCUAAUGCCGAAUACGACCUCCUUUCGCAUGAUCGGAGGUGGAAAGCUCCGGCGGAGAAGGAUGAGCUCGCGGCCUAUCAGCUUAUUGGUGAGGUAAUGGCUCACCAAGGCGACGACGGGUAGCCGGCCUGAGGAGGGUGACCGGCCACACGUGGGACUGAGACACGGCCAGACUCCGUAGGGA
rnacentral:rRNA from 1 species